rnacentral:tRNA from 1 species
AAAAAUAUAGCUUAAGAGAAAGCGUCUCACUUACAUUGAGUUUAAUUAUCGUGCAAAUCGGUUUAUUUUUA